AAGUCGAGGGGCGAGCACAAGGAGCAAUCUGAGGUGGCGACCGGCGCACGGGUGAGCAACACGUAUGCAACCUGCCUGUAAGCGGGGAAUAACCCGUUGAAAGACGGACUAAUACCGCAUAAUACUAAAUUACUGCAUGGUAAUUUAUUUAAACAUUUAUGGCUUACAGAUGGGCAUGCGCAUGAUUAGCUAGUUGGAGAGGUAACGGCUCCCCAAGGCAACGAUCAUUAGGGGUUCUGAGAGGAAGGUCCCCCACACUGGUACUGAGACACGGACCAGACUCCUACGGGAGGCAGCAGUGAGGAAUAUUGGUCAAUGGACGAGAGUCUGAACCAGCCAAGUCGCGUGCAGGAAGAAUGUCCUAAUGGAUUGUAAACUGCUUUUGCAGGGGAAUAAAGUGCAUCACGUGUGAUGUUUUGUAUGUACUCUGCGAAUAAGGAUCGGCUAACUCCGUGCCAGCAGCCGC
rnacentral:rRNA from 1 species